rnacentral:rRNA from 1 species
GUUUGUUAAGUCAGAUGUGAAAUCCCCGGGCUCAACCUGGGAGCUGCAUCUGAUACUGGCAAGCUUGAGUCUCGUAGAGGGGGGUAGAAUUCCAGGUGUAGCGGUGAAAUGCGUAGAGAUCUGGAGGAAUACCGGUGGCGAAGGCGGCCCCCUGGACGAAGACUGACGCUCAGGUGCGAAAGCGUGGGGAGCAAACAGGAUUAGAUACCCUGGUAGUCCACGCCGUAAACGAUGUCGACUUGGAGGUUGUGCCCUUGAGGCGUGGCUUCCGGAGCUAACGCGUUAAGUCGACCGCCUGGGGAGUACGGCCGCAAGGUUAAAACUCAAAUGAAUUGACGGGGGCCCGCACAAGCGGUGGAGCAUGUGGUUUAAUUCGAUGCAACGCGAAGAACCUUACCUGGUCUUGACAUCCACGGAAGUUUUCAGAGAUGAGAAUGUGCCUUCGGGAACCGUGAGACAGGUGCUGCAUGGCUGUCGUCAGCUCGUGUUGUGAAAUGUUGGGUUAAGUCCCGCAACGAGCGCAACCCUUAUCCUUUGUUGCCAGCGGUCCGGCCGGGAACUCAAAGGAGACUGCCAGUGAUAAACUGGAGGAAGGUGGGGAUGACGUCAAGUCAUCAUGGCCCUUACGACCAGGGCUACACACGUGCUACAAUGGCGCAUACAAAGAGAAGCGACCUCGCGAGAGCAAGCGGACCUCAUAAAGUGCGUCGUAGUCCGGAUUGGAGUCUGCAACUCGACUCCAUGAAGUCGGAAUCGCUAGUAAUCGUGGAUCAGAAUGCCACGGUGAAUACGUUCCCGGGCCUUGUACACACCGCCCGUCACACCAUGGGAGUGGGUUGCAAAAGAAGUAGGUAGCUUAACCUUCGGGAGGGCGCUUACCACUUUGUGAUUCAUGACUGGGGUGAAGUCGUAACAAGGUAACCGUAGGGGAACCUGCGGUUGGAUCACCUCCUUACCUUAAAGAAGC